CAGUAGCCACGGGAAUACGUAGGUGGCGAGCGUUGUCCGGAAUUAUUGGGCGUAAAGGGAGCGCAGGCGGACAUAUAAGUCCAUCUUAAAAGUGCGGGGCUCAACCCCGUGAGGGGAUGGAAACUGUAUGCCUUGAGUGCAGGAGAGGAAAGCGGAAUUCCCAGUGUAGCGGUGAAAUGCGUAGAUAUUGGGAGGAACACCAGUGGCGAAGGCGGCUUUCUGGACUGUAACUGACGCUGAGGCUCGAAAGCCAGGGGAGCGAGCGGGAUUAGAUACCCCCGUAGUCCCUGUCUCUUAUACA
rnacentral:rRNA from 1 species